UACGUAGGGAGCAAGCGUUGUUCGGAUUUACUGGGCGUAAAGAGCGCGCAGGCGGUCGAUCAAGUCGAGUGUGAAAGCCCCCGGCUCAACUGGGGAGGGUCAUUCGAUACUGAUCGACUCGAAGGCAGGAGAGGGUAGUGGAAUUCCCGGUGUAGUGGUGAAAUGCGUAGAUAUCGGGAGGAACACCAGUGGCGAAGGCGACUACCUGGCCUGUUCUUGACGCUGAGGCGCGAAAGCUAGGGGAGCAAACGGGG
rnacentral:rRNA from 1 species